rnacentral:rRNA from 1 species
UCGUAGCCGAAAGUGUUAAAGUUCUCCGCCUGGGGAGUAUUGGUCGCAGGGCUGAAACUCAAAGAAAUUGACGGGGGCUCACACAAGCGGUGGAGGGAUGUGGGCUUAAUUCGAAGCUACGCGAAGAACCUUAUCCUAGUCUUGACAUGUAUGGAUUAACCCUGUGAAAGCAGGGCCACGCUUCGGGUGGAACAUACACAGGUGCUGCAUGGCUGUCGUCAGCUCGUGUUGUGAGAUGUCGCGUUAAGUCGCUUAACGAGCGAAACCCUUGUCUCUAGUUGCCAGCGCGUAAUGGCGGGGACUCUAGAGAGACCGCCGGCGUUAAGCCGGAGGAAGGCGGGGAUGACGUCAAGUCCUCAUGGCCCUUAUGACUAGGGCUGCACACGUCCUACAAUGGAACGCACAAAGGGAUGCGAAACCGCGAGGUCAAGCAAAUCCCAAAAAUCGUUCCCUAGUUCGGAUUGCAGGCUGCAACUCGCCUGCAUGAAGCUGGAAUCGCUAGUAAUCGCGGGUCAGCAUACCGCGGUGAAUGUGUUCCUGAGCCUUGUACACACCGCCCGUCAAGCCACGAAAGUGGGGGGCAUCCGAAGUCGCUGAGG